UCCGUAGGGGGCAAGCGUUGUCCGGAAUCAUUGGGCGUAAAGAGCGUGUAGGCGGCUCGGUAAGUCCGCUGUGAAAGUCCAGGGCUCAACCCUGGAAUGCCGGUGGAAACUGUCGAGCUCGAGUCCGGAAGAGGCGAGUGGAAUUCCUGGUGUAGCGGUGAAAUGCGCAGAUAUCAGGAGGAACACCAAUGGCGAAGGCAGCUCGCUGGGACGGUACUGACGCUGAGACGCGAAAGCGUGGGGAGCAAACAGG
rnacentral:rRNA from 1 species